AGCUGCAAGUUCCUUAAAAAUCACUGCUUUGUCAGCUGCUUGUGGAGCCUUCUCAGCUGCAGGAGAUAACUGUGGGCUUGCCUCAAAGUUGCUGCAUAAUCGAGAGCUUGACUGUUGCACCGGGAUACAAGGACGUGCCCCAAAUUUGGAUGGCAGGUGACAAGUGUAUGACCAGAUCAAAUGCACCAGCGACAAGUUUGGAGGUGAUACCAAGCUGAGUGGUGUGGUUGAUAAGUCUGCAGCACAGGAUGCCAUCCAGAGGGACCUGGACAGGCUGGAAAGGAUGAAAUACAGCGAGGGACACCUCUCUUACUCUCCAGACUUCUGGAAAAGGAGGCUUGCUUGAACUAGCCAGCGGCAUAUUGCUAAAGGAAGCACCAACUGA